UCCAGACUCCUACGGGAGGCAGCAGUGGGGGAUAUUGCACAAUGGGGGGAACCCUGAUGCAGCGACGCCGCGUGGGUGAAGGAGCGUUUCGGCGCGUAAAGCCCUAUCGGCAGGGAAGAAGGAGGACGGUACCUGACUAAGAAGCCCCGGCUAACUACGUGCCAGCAGCCGCGGUAAUACGUAGGGGGCAAGCGUUAUCCGGAUUUACUGGGUGUAAAGGGGGCGCAGACGGCAGCGCAAGCCAGGAGUGAAAGCCCGGGGCCCAACCCCGGGACUGCUCUUGGAACUGCGCGGCUGGAGUGCAGGAGGGGCAGGCGGAAUUCCUGGUGUAGCGGUGAAAUGCGUAGAUAUCAGGAGGAACACCGGUGGCGAAGGCGGCCUGCUGGACUGCGACUGACGUUGAGGCCCGAAAGCGUGGGGAGCAAACAGGAUUAGAUACCCGGGUAAA
rnacentral:rRNA from 1 species